rnacentral:lncRNA from 1 species
UGAUCCGUGGUUGAACUAGAUAACUACUGAUUCCUCGUGUAUAUGAUUGUUAUCUGCAGGUCUCAAACAGAGUAAGAUACGAGCGACAUGGAUCCAACACCUGGGAGAUUCGUGAUGGAAAAGUUUGACGGCAAAGGCGACUUCAGUUUAUGGAAGUAUAAGUUGCUGGGGCAGUUGGAGAUACAAGGUAUUGCCUCUGUGUUGAU